CUGGGAUUACAGGCGUGAGCCACCGCGCCUGGCCUGAGUUCUUGGUUUCCUUCUCAGCUUGGUCGUUGUGCUACUGAUUUGUGCACAUUUAUUUUGUAACCUGAGACUUCACCGAAUCCAUUUGUCAAAUCGAGGAGUCUUUUGGAGGAGCCUUUAGGGUUUUCGAGGUAUACAGUCAUAACAUUGGCAGAGAUAGUUUGACCUCCUGUUUUCCCAUUUGGAUGCCCUCUCUUUCUUGUCUUUCCUGAUAGUUCUGGUCAGGACUUUGAAUACUAUGUUGGGUGGGAGGGUGAGUGUGGGAGGGUGAGAGGGCAUCCUUGUCUUGUUGCAGUUCUCAGGGGGACUGUUUCCACUUUUCCCCAUUUAGUAUGAUGUUGGCUGCGGGUUUGUCAUAUAUGGCUAUUAUCAUUUUGAGGUAUGUUCCUUCCAAGCCUAGUUGGUUGAGGAUUUUUAUCGUAAAACAAUGCUAGAUUUUGUCAAGUGCUUUGUAUGCAUCUACUGAGAUGAUCGUGUAGUUUUUGUUUUUAAUUCUGUUUAGGUGAUGAAUCAAACUUACUGACUGGCACAUGUUGAACCCCCCUGAAUCCCUGGGAUGAAACUCACUCGGUCAUGGUGAAUUAUUGCUUUAAUGUGCUGUUGGAUUCCGUUUGCAGGGUCAACUUGUCUUUCAUACCUUCCCUGCUGUCAUCUUCCAGAAUGUUAACACGAUGCUGUCUUCCUUAAUUCUGCAAAUUAGACAUUAUCAUGUUUGUUUUAUGGUCUUGACGUCUUUUAGUGUUGAUGAUGUGUGGACCACUUGUUGCAUGGCAGACCUUCCUCUGGGAAAUGACAAACUCCUUCGUGUUAAUGAAUUUUCCUUGUUCUUUAAUUGGGGCCAUUUUUCCUUUCUAAUAAGCUCUGUUUCCUCUUUCUUGAAAGAGAGUGUUGCCGGGUUUAUUCUUGUAGCUCUACAGAACUUUGAAAACCCUCCACUACCUUUUGGCUCCAUUGUUGCCCUCGAGAAGUCCAUCAGUCCUGUGUAGCUCCUGUGUAGUCCUGUGUAGUUCCUGUGUAGUCCUGUGUAGUCCUGUGUAGUCCUGUGUAGUCCUGUGUAGCUCCUGUGGAGCCCUGUGUAGCUCCUGUGUAGCUCCUGUAUAGCUCCUGUGUGGUCCUGCGUACUCCUGUAUAGCUCCUGUGUGGUCCUGCAUAGUCCUGUGUAGUCCUGUGUAGUCCUGUGUAGUCCCGUGUAGCUCCUGUAUAGCUCCUGUGUGGUCCUGCAUAGUCCUGUGUAGUCCUGUGUAGUCCUGUGUAGCUCCUGUGUAGUCCCGUGUAGUCCCGUGUGACCCCGUGUAGUCCCGUGUAGUCCCGUGUAGUCCCGUGUGACCCCGUGUAGUCCCGUGUAGUCCCGUGUGACCCCGUGUAGUCCCGUGUAGUCCCGUGUAGUCCCGUGUAGUCCCGUGUGACCCCGUGUAGUCCCGUGUAGUCCCGUGUAGCCCCGUGUAGUCCCGUGUAGUCCCGUGUAGUCCCGUGUAGUCCCGUGUGACCCCGUGUAGUCCCGUGUAGUCCCGUGUAGCCCCGUGUAGUCCCGUGUAGUCCCGUGUAGUCCCGUGUGACCCCGUGUAGUCCCGUGUAGUCCCGUGUAGUCCCGUGUGACCCCGUGUAGUCCCGUGUAGC
rnacentral:lncRNA from 1 species